GGAUUAGAUACCCCACUAUGCCUAGCCGUAAAACAUUAACCCACAUCAUAAACCGCCAGGGAAUUACGAGCCCAAGCUUAAAACCCAAAGGACUUGACGGUGCCCCACCCACCUAGAGGAGCCUGUUCUAUAAUCGAUUUUCCCCGAUACACCUCACCACUUCUAGCCUCUCAGCCUGUAUACCUCCGUCGUAAGCUUACCAUAUGAACGUUGAACUAGUGAGCUAAAAGAUUUACCAUCAACACGUCAGGUCAAGGUGCAGCCCACGAAGUGGCAAGCAAUGGGCUACAGUUUCUAACUUAGAACAGACGAAAGACUACAUGAAACACAGUCAUGAAGGCGGAUUUAGUAGUAAAAAGAAAAUAGAGUGUUCUUUUUAAUUAGGCGCUGGGACGCGUACACACCGCCCGUCACCCUCUUCAAACGCAACCAUUAUGUUAAUAACACCAAACUGCACUACAGAAGAGGUAAGUCGUAACACGGUAAGCGUACUGGAAAGUGCGCUUGGAUAA
rnacentral:rRNA from 1 species